AGUGAACGCUGGCGGUAGGCCUAACACAUGCAAGUCGAACGGCAGCACAGUAAGAGCUUGCUCUUACGGGUGGCGAGUGGCGGACGGGUGAGGAAUACAUCGGAAUCUACUUUUUCGUGGGGGAUAACGUAGGGAAACUUACGCUAAUACCGCAUACGACCUACGGGUGAAAGCUGGGGAUCUUCGGACCUUGCGCGACUGAAUGAGCCGAUGUCGGAUUAGCUAGUUGGCGGGGUAAAGGCCCACCAAGGCGACGAUCCGUAGCUGGUCUGAGAGGAUGAUCAGCCACACUGGAACUGAGACACGGUCCAGACUCCUACGGGAGGCAGCAGUGGGGAAUAUUGGACAAUGGGCGCAAGCCUGAUCCAGCCAUACCGCGUGGGUGAAGAAGGCCUUCGGGUUGUAAAGCCCUUUUGUUGGGAAAGAAAAGCAGCAGGUUAAUACCCCGCUGUUCUGACGGUACCCAAAGAAUAAGCACCGGCUAACUUCGUG
rnacentral:rRNA from 1 species